rnacentral:lncRNA from 1 species
GUCAGAAGAUGUAACCAAAGAAAAUAAACAAAAUGACAAUAAUACAUAAAUAACAACAGACUACUAGCAGUUAACUGACAUGCCAGCUCCAGACUUCAAUUAAACUGACUGAAAGAUUAUGAUUUCAUCAUAUGAACAUCAGGCACAAUCCUUCCCGUUAGGGGUUUAGUAUCAUACCAUCAUAACAUAUAUGAGAAGAACAUAACCCGUGUCAUGCCAACAACUG